rnacentral:ncRNA from 2 species
AACGGUACCAGCUCGAAGGCCACGAUGCUCACUACGCACGGGAUGCCUCCACAUCCAAUCUCGUGGGCGGGUCAAGGUCUGAGUGUCAUGCCCCCUCCAUCGGCUCUCGCAGGGCCCAGUCGUAAUUGACUGAUCGACAUACUAGAGGAGCAGAUUCUCUCCCUCUGCCCCGAUCCUGUGAUGCGCAGGCGAGGCAUGGAGAGGGUGGUUUUGAAAGAUGUCGCGGAGGCUGGGAAAGGUCUUGCU